rnacentral:rRNA from 1 species
UACGGAGGAUGCGAGCGUUAUCCGGAUUUAUUGGGUUUAAAGGGUGCGCAGGCGGCGUGUCAAGUCAGCGGUAAGAUGUCGGGGCUCAACCCCGGCCGGCCGUUGAAACUGGCGUGCUCGAGUUGGAGAGAAGUAUGCGGAAUUCGUGGUGUAGCGGUGAAAUGCAUAGAUAUCACGAAGAACCCCGAUUGCGAAGGCAGCAUACCGGCUCCACACUGACGCUGAGGCACGAAAGCGUGGGUAUCGAACAGG